rnacentral:rRNA from 1 species
GUACACUCCUACGGGAGGCAGCAGUGGGGAAUAUUGGACAAUGGGCGCAAGCCUGAUCCAGCCAUGCCGCGUGAGUGAUGAAGGCCCUAGGGUUGUAAAGCUCUUUCACCGGUGAAGAUAAUGACGGUAACCGGAGAAGAAGCCCCGGCUAACUUCGUGCCAGCAGCCGCGGUAAUACGAAGGGGGCUAGCGUUGUUCGGAUUUACUGGGCGUAAAGCGCACGUAGGCGGACUAUUAAGUCAGGGGUGAAAUCCCGGGGCUCAACCCCGGAACUGCCUUUGAUACUGGUAGUCUUGAGUUCGAGAGAGGUGAGUGGAAUUCCGAGUGUAGAGGUGAAAUUCGUAGAUAUUCGGAGGAACACCAGUGGCGAAGGCGGCUCACUGGCUCGAUACUGACGCUGAGGUGCGAAAGCGUGGGGAGCAAACAGGAUUUGAUACCCCGGUAGUCCCAUGA